GGAUGCGAUCAUACCAGCACUAAAGCACCGGAUCCCAUCAGAACUCCGAAGUUAAGCGUGCUUGGGCGAGAGUAGUACUAGGAUGGGUGACCUCCUGGGAAGUCCUCGUGUUGCAUCCU
rnacentral:rRNA from 1 species